UUACGGCCACAUCACAUUGAAACACCGGCUCCCGUGGGAACACCGGAGUUAAGCAACGUCGACCUGGUCAGUACUUUGACAAGUGACCGCUUGGGAAUACCAGGUUCCGUAA